GACGAACGCUGGCGGCGUGCUUAACACAUGCAAGUGGUUCGACGAACCAGGCUUCGGCCUGGGGCGAAGCCGCGAACGGGUGAGUAACACGUGGGCAAUCUGCCCCUUUGAUCGGGACAACCCGGGGAAACCCGGGCGAAUACCGAAUGAGGUGGCGACUCAUGAGAGUCGUCACGAAAGGAAGCUUCGGCCUCAGCGAAGGGAUGAGCCCGCGGCCCAUUAGCUUGUUGGUGGGGUAAUGGCCUACCAAGGCAACGAUGGGUAGCUGGUCUGAGCGGACGAUCAGCCACACUGGGACUGAGACACGGCCCAGACUCCUACGGGAGGCUGCAGUGGGGAAUAGUGCGCAAUGAGCGACAGCUUGACGCAGCAACGCCGCGUGAGGGAAGAAGGCUUUCGGGUCGUAAACCUCUUUCAGUUAGGACGAAGCUUUAUUGGUUAAUAACCAAUUGGAGUGACGGUACUUUCAGAAGAAGCCCCGGCUAACUACGUGCCAGCAGCCGCGGUAA
rnacentral:rRNA from 1 species